UAAGCAACCCGGUAUUGAAGAGGCUGCAUGGCUGCGUUUCACCACCCGCAGUAGAAUGAGAGUGAAAAAGAAAUGAUUUAAAGAUGAGAUUUAUAUAGCCAGGCAUGGUGGCACAUAUUCUUAAUCCCAGCGUUGGCGAGGAGGAGAAUGAGAACGGGGCAGGGGGCUCUUGGGUUUGAAGCCAGUCUGAGACAGUGAGAUACUAUUUCUAAAAAGUCGGGGGGAGGGGCGCUAGGGAUAAACUUAAGUGGCGGGGUGGCCUUUGCCUGGCCCGCGCAAGGUGGGGUUCGAUGCUCCACCCAAAAGAAGGCAUUUGUAAUCGAAAGGAAAACAGGGCAGAGAGGUUUGGACAGCGCUUAACCUGGUCACGUGUCUUACUUUGUUUUCUGUGGCUGGAACUGAGUACCUCAGAUUAAGUCAGAAAGCUCGUUGGUCUUUCCGCUCUGGUAGCCAGGAAGUUCGAGAUGGAGCAGCCACAUCUAAUGAGGCCCUUCCUGCUGGUGUUGACGCUGCAGAGUCCAAGGCCAUUCAGGGCAUGGCAUGGCCUCCAUAAGGACAUUGGAAGAAGGAAGAUUCACUCUUCUUCAACUGCUUGCACUUACUUGCCAGCACAUCUGUUGGAGCCUACUUCUACAGAAGAGCAGCUGAAACACCCAGCCUUGUGGGACUGAGCAACUACUAGAUCCUUGGACUUCCCAUCCACAGCUGCCCAUUGUUGGGUUAGAUGGACUACAGACUGUAAGUCAUCCCAAUAAAUUCCUUAAUAUACAGAGACAUCCCAUAAGUUCUGUGACUCAAGAGAACCCUGACUAAUACAACCUGCUUGGCUGGGCUGGUGCGAUAGCUCAGCAGGCAAAGUUGACUGCAGUGUAAGCCUGGAGGUGCACCAUUGAUGGAUAGGACGCAUGCAGAGGUGAAAGAGCCGACUCCACAGCAGUCCUCUCACCUCUACAUGGACAUUGGAGCAUGCACCACCAUCAUGCACGCAGUGAUGGUUUAAAUAUGCUUGGCCCAGAGAGUGGCAAUAAUAGGAGGUGUGGCCUUGUUAGAGUAGGUGUGGCCUUGUUGGAGGAAGUGUGUCAUUGUGGGUGUGGGCUAUAAGAAUUUUGUCCUAACUGCCUGGAAGCCAGUCUUCUAACAGUCUUCAGAUAGAGAUGAAGAACUCUCAGCGCUGCCUGCACCAUGCUUGCCUGGGCAAUGGUAUGUUCCUACCUUGAUAAAGGACUGAUCCGCUGAACCUGUAAGCCAGCCCCAAUUAAAUGUUGUCAUUAUAAGA
rnacentral:lncRNA from 1 species